rnacentral:lncRNA from 1 species
AUGAGAUUGCUUCGCGGGGCAGUUGUUAUCUUGCUCAGUUUUGGCACAGUACCAUGUGAUGCAAUUGAGCCGGCCACGUGGCACCCACUCAGCGCAUCCAGCGGCACCGUGAGCAGUCAGAGUGUCUGGAAGAGGGCAUGGGAGGAACCCUCCUCACAGAAGGGCUCAGAAGGGACACAAACGCCCCUGCCCUUCCAACAGCUGCUGGCCAGCAAAGUACAUCGUCGGCUUUCAGCCAUCCUGUGCGUGAGUAGAAAGGGUGUUUCCAGCACAUCCCAAAAAGGGUUUCAGGCCUUGACACCAUCUAAGACGUGGCCACAUGAAGUUGAGCUUCCAGCUAAGGGGAGCCAGAAACACACCGUGCCUUGGGUGCUCAGCUUGGACUGUGACAGUACAAGCCCAAUGACAGCUGGUGCCUGGAAACCGUCUUGCUGCUGUUUUCUGUGAGUGGAGAGGAUCUUCUUUUGCAGACGAGAGGAAACAGUGUCAUCCAUUGGAGUGUGUUCCUAUGCUUCCAGGGACCCUGGAGUCAUCUGCUGGAGGGG